UACGUAGGCAGCAAGCGUUGUUCGGAGUUACUGGGCGUAAAGGGUGUGUAGGCGGUUAUUUAAGUUUGGUGUGAAAUCUCCCGGCUCAACUGGGAGGGUGCGCCGAAUACUGAAUGACUAGAGUGUGGGAGAGGUGAGUGGAAUUCCUGGUGUAGCGGUGAAAUGCGUAGAGAUCCGGAGGAACACCAGUGGCGAAGGCGACACGCUGGGCCGUACCUGACGCUAAAGCGCGACAGCAUGGGGAGCAAACGGG
rnacentral:rRNA from 1 species